AGGUAAGAAAACGACGCAACUGCAACCAGAGGAGGCAAAUCAUCAAGGACGGAUGGGUAGACUACGAAGGAGAAGUGAUAAGGUUUGAAGACAUAUAGCUUGAACAGAACUGUCCUGAGGAGACCGUAGCACCGAGUCAGGUGUGGAGAGAGAAGAUAGUUACACACGAAGAGGAGGCGCCGCCGGAACCACCGACUACGCCAUCCAGCGAAUCCUAGGACAACUGAGAAAACAGAGAGUCCCGUUCAGAGGACUUAAAAACAUCGAACGCCUUGCCAAGAGGUAAACUUGGUAGUUACCCUUUUCCUUUCAAUUAUUCAAUUAUAGUUUGCUUAGUUAAUCAGGAUUCAUAUCAUCUCGAAAAGAAAAUAAAAAUGUUAAAAAUAGUAAGCCCCA
rnacentral:lncRNA from 1 species